AGUGAACGCUGGCGGUAGGCCUAACACAUGCAAGUCGAACGGCAGCACAGUAAGAGCUUGCUCUUACGGGUGGCGAGUGGCGGACGGGUGAGGAAUACAUCGGAAUCUACUUUUUCGUGGGGGAUAACGUAGGGAAACUUACGCUAAUACCGCAUACGACCUACGGGUGAAAGCAGGGGAUCUUCGGACCUUGCGCGAUUGAAUGAGCCGAGGUCGGAUUAGCUAGUUGGCGGGGUAAAGGCCCACCAAGGCGACGAUCCGUAGCUGGUCUGAGAGGAUGAUCAGCCACACUGGAGCUGAGACACGGUCCAGACUCCUACGGGAGGCAGCAGUGGGGAAUAUUGGACAAUGGGCGCAAGCCUGAUCCAGCCAUACCGCGUGGGUGAAGAAGGCCUUCGGGUUGUAAAGCCCUUUUGUUGGGAAAGAAAAGCAGCAGGUUAAUACCCCGCUGUUCUGACGGUACCCAAAGAAUAAGCACCGGCUAACUUCGUG
rnacentral:rRNA from 1 species